AGUGAACGCUAGCGGCGUGGUUCAGACAUGCAAGUCGAACGCUCUCGCAAGAGGGAGUGGCGAACGGGUGAGUAACACGUGAACAAUUUACCUUCAAAUUGGGGGAUAGCCUUCCGAAAGGAGGGGUAAUACCGAAUGUGGCGCUCUAUCGCAUGAUAGGGGAGCUAAAGGCGGGGACCGCAAGGCCUGCCGUUUGAAGAUGAGUUCGCGGCCUAUCAGCUAGUUGGCGGGGUAACGGCCCACCAAGGCGAAGACGGGUAGCUGUUCUGAGAGGAUGAUCAGCCACACUGGAACUGAGAUACGGUCCAGACACCUACGGGUGGCAGCAGUUUCGAAUUAUUUGCAAUGGGGGCAACCCUGACAGUGCAACGCCGCGUGAGGGAUGAGCCAUGAUCAAACUCU
rnacentral:rRNA from 1 species